GGUCCCCUGGGGCCGGUUGGGGCUAGUCUCCCCUGAGCACCUGCAGGUGAGAAGGGGGCUGCGGGAGAAUGGGGCUCACGGUUCAGCGGGCCAGAGAGGAUGUGGACCACUCAGGACUGCCCCCAGACCAGAGACCCAGAAGACUGAGCACCAGGAUGUCAACUUAGGUGGAACAAGUCAACCCUUGGCAAAUGCUUGAAAGUGGUGAAUUCAUCUGUAAAGAUGCCCAGCCUCCCAGGAAAUGUGCUGUUUUAGCCUGAGUAGAGACGUCGUGGCGAUUAGGAGCUGCAUAUGACGGCGGUGGCAGAACAAACACACUACCAUGUUGCCCAUUCGUCACGAGUGCAAAGGCCAGCAAGGUGCCUGGGAAGCUGUCCUCUAACAGGGAGCGGUCACGGGCUGCUGGGUCCCUACAGCUCCUGCAGCCUCACUCUGAAAUCCCUGGUGACACACACCAAAAGUGAGCAGUGCGCAUCUGGGAGAGAAGGAAAGGCUCACCUCCCAGUGGCCAGCAGAAGGAGGCAGCAUCGGAUAAUGGAUAAAGCUACUCUUGGUGGAAGCUGCUGCUGGUGCUGGUGGCUUCUGAACUGCAGUCCUGGGCACCUCUGAGGGCCGGAGAGCUGUUUCUGCAUGGUCUCCCGGUGGUCUCUGGGGAUGAUGGUUCUGGGACUCGCUCUCCCCUAGGUUUGUUUCUGGGGAGAAUUUAAAAUAAACAGCUUUUGUUAGUA